rnacentral:rRNA from 1 species
GAUGAACGCUGGCGGCGUGCUUAACACAUGCAAGUCGAACGAUGAAGCCCAGCUUGCUGGGUGGAUUAGUGGCGAACGGGUGAGUAACACGUGAGUAACCUGCCCUUGACUCUGGGAUAAGCCUGGGAAACUGGGUCUAAUACUGGAUAUGACUUCUCAUCGCAUGGUGGGGGGUGGAAAGAUUUAUUGGUCUUGGAUGGACUCGCGGCCUAUCAGCUUGUUGGUGAGGUAAUGGCUCACCAAGGCGACGACGGGUAGCCGGCCUGAGAGGGUGACCGGCCACACUGGGACUGAGACACGGCCCAGACUCCUACGGGAGGCAGCAGUGGGGAAUAUCGCACAAUGGGCGCAAGCCUGAUGCAGCGACGCCGCGUGAGGGAUGACGGCCUUCGGGUUGUAAACCUCUUUCAGUAGGGAAGAAGCGAGAGUGACGGUACCUGCAGAAGAAGCGCCGGCUAACUACGUG